ensembl:lncRNA
GAUUACUAAACCAUUACAUGUAAGUGAUUAGUUUGGGACUGCCUUAAUCCCGGUAGUCUGGAUGGGAUAAAAGAGGCAGAAAGACUCAGUGAAGGCCUCUUGUUGCCUUUGCUAUCUUGUACGUUCCAUGUUGUUUCUCUUUACAAUGUCUGUUGGUCAUUCCUUUCUUGGAGCCAGCUGACUAUGGGCUGAAACCUCUACAAACUGUAAGCCAAAUAAACCCCUUGUGGAGAACACCUUGAAAUAAGAUGGAAUUGUAUAACCCUAAGUGUGCUGUAACCCUAAAGUGUGCUGUGACUUUAAGAGUGCUGUAACCUAAGUAUAACACAAUCAUAAGAGUGAUGUGUAACCAUAAGAUAUGAAAGUAGAACUUUAAGCGGUAUGGAACUGAUAAGGGUGUGCCCUGAGCUGGACAGGGUGUACCCCGAACUGGACAGGGUGUGCCCCGAAAUGGACAGUGUGAUAAGCCUGAACCAAUACCACAAACGCCCAGUUAGAAUAGUGUAAAAGGAGCUGAAGACCCCAAGCAAGUCGACGAUCCGUCCACCGACCAGUCGGCCAGUCAGUCUGCUGAUCUGACUACCGACUGAGACAUCUGCACACCUGAUCCCGAUGGAAGGAGCAUCACCACUGACCAGACGAGACCAGAGGACGAGGCAAGCGGAGAGACGGACAGCCUAGCGCCGACUCGACGCCCUUUGUCUACGGAUCGGACCCUCUGACCCUGCGGGAGGAAACGUCGCGCUCCCAUUAAGGACUUGCGCAGUGCAGGGGAAGAAAGCAGGAUCAUAAUCCAAGGCCAAAGAGGACUUUGUUUACAGCUGCCCUGACCAUAUUCACAGGCAGUUUGCUUGCUCAAGGUAUGAGUUUGUAAGAAUGACAGACGAUAUUGCAGUAGAUGACUGACUACUCGCUCAUCUUUGUAUCUGUAUUCUCUGAAGAUUCCCAUUAAGAGAUGGAACUUAUUUCUCACCUUCUAAAUCUUGCCUUGUUUUAGCCAACAGAAUGAGGAAGUGAAUAUUAUGUCAUUUCUGAGCCUUGACUUCAAAAGGCCUUGUGUUAAUCCUGCCCAGCUGGUAAAUGAAUACGUGUGGCCAAGUGGCCUCCUGUCUAUAGUGACAGCCAGACCACUGGGGAGAUAUAAGGGAAGCCAUACUAGACCAACAAGGAC